rnacentral:rRNA from 1 species
UACGUAGGGGGCGAGCGUUGUCCGAAGUUACUGGGCUUAAAGCGCGCGUAGGCGGUUUCUUAAGUCUGGGGUGAAAGGUUCAGCGCUCAACGCGAACAGUGCCUUGGAUACUGGGAGACUUGAGUCUGGGAGGGGGCAGUGGAAUUCCUGGUGUAGCGGUGAAAUGCGUAGAUAUCUGGAGGAACACCGGUGGCGAAGGCGGCAUUCUGGACCGACAUUGACGCUGAGGAGCGAAAGCCAGGGGAGCAAACGGG